rnacentral:rRNA from 1 species
CUAUACAUGACUCUGCGCAUAUCAAUAAGCGGAGGAAAAGAAACUAACAAGGAUUCCCUAGUAACGGCGAGUGAAGCGGGAAGAGCUCAAAUUUGAAAUCUUCAAGGUUCUACCUUGACGAAUUGUAGUUUAUAGAAGUGUUUUCUGUUAGUAGAGUGGCAAAAGUUCUUUGGAAUAGGACAUCAUAGAGGGUGAGAAUCCCGUAUUUGGUCAUUCUUUCUAGCUUUGUGAUACACUUUCAACGAGUCGGAUUGUUUGGGAAUGCAGUCCAAAAUGGGUGGUAAAUUUCAUCUAAAGCUAAAUAUUGGCGAGAGACCGAUAGCGAACAAGUACCGUGAGGGAAAGAUGAAAAGAGCUUUGAAAAGAGAUGUUAAACAGUACGUGAAAUUGUCAAAAGGGAAGCGUUUGACACCAGUGUUGUUUUUCCGAAAAUCAAUUACUGAAUGGUUUGAUUUUGAGAGUUAUGACCUUCAAUCGCUUGCUUCUCUCUUUACUGACUUUCGUAAUGCACUUUUCAGUUAACAAGUCAACAUCAAUUUCUUUUGUUGUAAAAGGGUAUGAGGAAGGUGGCUUUCUUUUCGGAGAAAGUGUUUAUAGCCUUGUACCUCUGCAGUCGGAGAGAUUGAGGUCUGCAGCGUAGAUCCUUCGGGGUUAGAUAGCAUUUGUGCUAAGUUAUAGCCUUUCAUAGACAACUUGUUGACUAUGAUUAAGUCAUUGUAGCUUACUCGCUUAUGUCUAUUUUACCUACGCUUAGGAUGUUGAUAUGCAUGACUGAUAU